rnacentral:tRNA from 1 species
GGGGAUAUAGCUCAAUUGGUAGAGUGCUUGCCUCACAUGCACAAGGUCCUGGGUUCAAUCCCCAGGACCACCA